GAUGAACGCUGGCGGCGUGCCUAAUACAUGCAAGUCGAGCGAACAGACGAUGAGCUUGCUCCUCUCACGUUUGCGGCGGACGUGUGAGUAACACGUGGAUACCCUACUUAUAUGACUGGGAUAACUUCGGGACACCGGCGCUAAUACCGGAUAAUAUCUUGAUCCGCAUGGUUCGUUGGUGAAAGACGGCUUUGCUGUCACUUAUCGAUGGAUCCGCGCCGCAUUAGCUAGUUGGUAAGGUCACGGCUUACCAAGGCAACGAUGCGUAGCCGACCUGAGAGGGGGAUCGGCCACACUGGAGCUGAGACACGGUCCAGACUCCUACGGGAGGCAGCAGUAGGGAAUCGUCCGCAAUAGGGGAAAGCCUGACGGAGCAACGGCGCGUGAGUGAUGAAGGUCUUCGGAGCGUAAAACUCUGUUAUGAGGGAAGAACAAAUGUGUAAGUAACUAUGCACGGCGUGACGGUACCUAAUCAGAAAGCCACGGCUAACUACGUG
rnacentral:rRNA from 1 species